rnacentral:siRNA from 1 species
GGAACCGGCGGUGGCACUAUCCCU